CAAGAUAGAGCACACAUCACUGGGUGGUACGCUCUGUCCCUCUGUGCACCCAUGCACCAUCCUCAACCGUGCGUGUGUUCUCUCACCCCGAGCCAGGUGGAGUGCCAGUUAAUGAAUGGCGGCAGCAGCGUGGGGCCUUCUGGAUAGUCCAUGAUACCCAGUGAAGUGAGGACAGUGUGGCAAGGCGAGGCAAGGCAAGGUGAAGGAGUGUCGUAGGGGUGUUGGCGUGAAGUCCUUGAGCUUCCUGGUGGAAACCUUGUGGCAGUGGAAUGCCAGGGAACGAAUGCCAGCAGCAGCCUGGAGCCCUCCAUAUAAUCCGUGAUACCCGGCGAAGUGAGGACGAUGCAGAAAGGCAAGGUGUGGUGUAGGAGUCUUGGAGGGGUGUUGGCGUGCAGUCCGUAAGGAUUCUGGUUUAACCCUUGUGGCGUUCAACUUAGAAUCAGCACUUGUUUUUUUAUGAAAGAACUAAUUUUUUUCACCUUGAGAAGUGAAAUGAUGGAGAAUAUCAUGACUAAAUCUGCCAUCCAAACCUCACAGUCCAGUGGGAAUUCUCACACUGGUCAUUGUGUCUGAGGGUGUUGGAAUCCUGAGUGCUCAGUCUCUGCCACAUAUCUCACGUUUAAUGUUCUUCUACAAAUGUACCUGUAUUGAUGAUGACUUCAGAAAUGGAUCUCAGAGGAGUCUGAAUGAAAUGACUGACAAAAUUACUUCUCAUGGAUCAAGUACUGUGUUUCAUAUGAAAGAGAGGUGACAUAAAGGACAGGAUUCAGAAUAAGUCUGCCUUUCCAUCCUUAAGGUCCAUUCUCAAACUGAUUGGAAGCAAUGUUGAAUGGAAGGUACAUUUUAUUGCUUGGAAUUCUCACCACUACACCAAGGAACUGCUGUUUUUGUAACAGCCUUCUCACCUGGGAAUGGCAAAAACAAUGUAUUCC